CCUAAAUGUUCUGGGAGAAUAGGAUCGUUUAACUGGGCAGGUACGGUAUUAAACGUUUCAAAAUUUUAAUUUAAAUUUACAUACCAUCUCUGUGCCUCCAUAUCGAGAACAAGACUCUUUACUACAUUCCUGAGGAAUUACUGUCCUAAACCAAAUCAUAGAUAUCUUAUAUACACUAGAUAGCGCAUCUCUUUUAGUAAAAUUGAAGCCAAGUAUAUUCCAGCGGUUACCCCCAUUUGAAUAGAUGGCGGCCAUGUUGGAGUUUUCCACUCGCUAAUAAACGCUUAAAAAACAACAAUGACUUUCAUCAUUUGAAUAGUUUGAAAAUGUAUUUGGAAUAGGUUUAACUUAAUGUUUAAGUUCCCUGUUUAAGAAAUAGAAAACAUAUACGAGUCUUCUCAUUUCAUGUCGCAAUCACGGCUUCAAUUUUUGAAUUGCAGAAUAAUUAGAUGCACUAUCUAGUGUAUAUAAGAUAUCCAUGAACCAGAUCUUCUGAAGAAUUCAUUUUGAAAGUCCGCAGAAGGAUUUAGUAUUUUACACUUGACCCUUGAAGAGGUCUGAGUCAAAGUACUCUAUUCCUGAGGAAUUUCAGCGCAAACGUCAGCAGGCUCAGCUUACCAGUACCCCCAGAGAAUUUUAGGUUCCUUCAUACGGGGAGGGAGAUAUUGAAUGGAAUUUGAGCCCUAUGUCGUUGGUUUAGGAGAACAGUGUUCUUGUGGACGUUGGGUCACACCAGCAUUUCAACUUCACAAAAGCAGGAUUGAUGAAAGUUAAGAGGCGAGAGAUGCGAGUUGAAUCGAGCUUAAAUGCACGCAUAUACAGUAGUCUAUGGUACGACGUAGCAAAACAGUCGCAACAGAACCAAGUGGUCUUGAAGAAAAUUUUAUUAAAGAAUAAGCUGGGAAUAUGGAAUUGAUUAGAACUUGGCUCAUCACCCAUCACCCAUCGUCCUUAGUCUUCAGGGGAACAUAUACAUUAAUAAGUAAAGGAAGAAGUUAUUUCGCUGGCCUCGGAGUGACAAAUCGUAACAAAGCAACGGUCUUAUUAACACUAACCGUAUUUCAAACAGCAACUCU